rnacentral:rRNA from 1 species
AGAGCGAACGCUGGCGGCAGGCUUAACACAUGCAAGUCGAACGAUCCUUCGGGAUAGUGGCGGACGGGUGAGUAACACGUGGGAACGUGCCUUUAGGUUCGGAACAACACAGGGAAACUUGUGCUAAUACCGGAUGUGCCCUUCGGGGGAAAGAUUUAUCGCCUUUAGAGCGGCCCGCGUCUGAUUAGCUUGUUGGUGGGGUAAAGGCCUACCAAGGCGACGAUCAGUAGCUGGUCUGAGAGGAUGGCCAGCCACAUUGGGACUGAGACACGGCCCAAACUCCUACGGGAGGCAGCAGUGGGGAAUCUUGCGCAAUGGGCGAAAGCCUGACGCAGCCAUGCCGCGUGGAUGAUGAAGGUCUUAGGAUUGUAAAAUCCUUUCACCGGGACGAUAAUGACGGUACCCGGAGAAGAAGCCCGGCUAACUUCGUGCCAGCAGCCGC